rnacentral:rRNA from 1 species
UACGAAGGGGGCGAGCGUUGUUCGGAAUCACUGGGCGUAAAGGGCGCGUAGGCGGCCCUUCUUGUCGCGUGUGAAAGCCCCGGGCUCAACCUGGGAACGGCGCGCGAGACGGGAGGGCUGGAGUUCGGGAGAGGAGCGUGGAAUUCCCAGUGUAGAGGUGAAAAUUCGUAGAUAUUGGGAGGAACACCAGUGGCGAAGGCGGCUCACUGGACCGGUUCUGACGCUGGAUGCGCGAA